GGAGAAUCCGAGAGGCCCUUAGACCAC
rnacentral:piRNA from 1 species